UUGAGUCAUCUCCUUUGAUUCCUAUAAGACGUACCUUUUAGUCGAGUCAACUCCCUUGAUUCCUAUAAGACGUACCUUUUAGUCGAGUCAUCUCCCUUGAUUUCUAUAAGACGUACCUUUUAGUCGAGUCAUCUCCCUUGAUUCCUAUAAGACGUACCUUUUAGUUGAGUCAUUCCCCUUGACCCCUAGAAGACAUACCUUUUAGUCGAGUCAAUUCCUUUGAUCCAUAUUAGAUGUACCUUAUAGUCGAGUCAUUCUCCUUGAUUCCUAUAAUGAUGUGACUUUCACAAAAGUCCUUUGAUGAUAAACUGGGGCAAAAUUUAAUUCUUGUUUUUUGGAACUUUACUUUUCUGGCAAACGAAAUUUCUCUUUAUAAUAAAUUUUGUUUGGGAUAAUCUUCUUUCCAGUUUUGAUGUGAUUUCAGGAGCCUGCCCAAAGCACGGG
rnacentral:lncRNA from 1 species